rnacentral:rRNA from 1 species
GAUGAACGCUGGCGGCGUGCUUAACACAUGCAAGUCGAACGGGAAACCUUUUAUUGAAGCUUCGGCAGAUUUAGCUGGUUUCUAGUGGCGGACGGGUGAGUAACGCGUGGGUAACCUGCCUUAUACAGGGGGAUAACAACCAGAAAUGGUUGCUAAUACCGCAUAAGCGCACAGGACCGCAUGGUCCGGUGUGAAAAACUCCGGUGGUAUAAGAUGGACCCGCGUUGGAUUAGCUAGUUGGCAGGGUAACGGCCCACCAAGGCGACGAUCCAUAGCCGGCCUGAGAGGGUGAACGGCCACAUUGGGACUGAGACACGGCCCAGACUCCUACGGGAGGCAGCAGUGGGGAAUAUUGCACAAUGGGGGAAACCCUGAUGCAGCGACGCCGCGUGAAGGAAGAAGUAUCUCGGUAUGUAAACUUCUAUCAGCAGGGAAGAUAGUGACGGUACCUGACUAAGAAGCCCCGGCUAACUACGUG